rnacentral:rRNA from 1 species
GAUGAACGCUGGCGGCGUGCCUAAUACAUGCAAGUCGAGCGGCAGCGCGGUCUUCGGACUGGCGGCGAGCGGCGGACGGCUGAGUAGCACGUAGGAACGUACCCAAAGUGAGGGAUAAGCACCAGAAAUGGUGUCUAAUACCGCAUAUGCUCUAAGGAGUAAAGCUUCGGCGCUUUGGGAACGGCCUGCGCAUGAUUAGCUUGUUGGUGAGGUAAUGGCUCACCAAGGCGACGAUCAUUAGCUGGUCUGAGAGGAUGGUCAGCCAGACUGGGACUGAGAACGGCCCAGACUCCUACGGGAGGCAGCAGUAGGGAAUUUUCCACAAUGGGCGAAGGCCUGAUGGAGCAAACGCCGCGUGCAGGAUGAAGGCCUUCGGGUCGUAAACUGCUUUUAUAUGUGACGAAUAUGACGGUAGCAUAUGAAUAAGGAUC